ensembl:lncRNA
UGAACAUAUUCUCAUUGAGAAUGAAGAUUUUAUUUUGCAGUAUUCUCUGCAGUUAAAUAAGGCCAUAUGACCAAGUUCUGACCAAUGGAAUGUGAGAAAGAUUAAUAUUUACACUCUGGGCUUCCCAGGUGGCGCUAGUGGUAAAGAACCCGCCUGUCAAUUCAGGAGACAAAAGAGACGCAAGUUCAAUCCAUCGGCUGGAAAGAUCCCCUGGAGGAGGAAAUGGCAACCCACUCCAGUGUUCUUGCCUGGACAGUCCCAUGGACAGAGAAGCCUGAUGCAUCCGUUACAUCCACGUAGGUGCCUUUGACACCCCAAUCCUCCCUGACCUUUCCGGUGACUGUAGACCCGCAUGUCCACCUGCCUGCGAGAAAGUUCCACCUUGCUGUCGGGCCAGCGCUGGCCCCAGAGUUCAGUGCUCCAGACUGACCUCGUCGUUCUUCCGGGCUUGAAGCCUAGGAACUGUCGUCCACUGCUGCCUCUCCCUCGGCACAGUCAGUCACCACAGCGGGGUCACCCCCUACUGCUAAUGGCUUUCACGCUGAUUAUUGCGAAGCUGUGGGUGUGCGACCUUUCACAAACUGGGCAGAGUGGGUCCCCACCUGGGAUAGGCUGGUGUCACUAUAGAAGUCUGUUACAGACAUCAGAAGUGGUGUGUGACCGGGGCAAGGGCAGGGGAGAUGAGGACCCGGGCCAUGGGAGGAGCAGGAGGAAUGUGGUCAAGGUCAAUGUCAGAUCCCUAGGGUAAGAGGGGUCAACAAUCAGGGCAAGCAUAAAAAUUGAAGUCAAAAGGGACUUCCCCAGCGGUCCAGUGGGUAAGAAUCCACCAUCCAAUACAGGAGACAUGGGUUUCAACUCUGGUGGGGGAACUAAGAUCCCACAUGCCUCAGGGCAGCUAAGCCCAGAUGCUACAACUACUGAGCCCGCAAGGUCUAGAGCCAGGGGUCCACGACACAAGAAGCCUGCAUACCACCAGUAGGAAAAGCCUGCACACUAAAACGAAGACCCAGUGCAGCCAAAAAAAAAAAAAAAAA